CCAAUAGCGUAUAUUAAAGUUGUUGCAGUUAAAAAGCUCGUAGUUGAAUUUCAGGCCUGGCUGGACGGUCCGCCCUUCGGGUGAGUACUGUCUGUGGUCGGGUCCUACCUUCUGGCGAAGCGUCAUGGCCUUAACCGGCCGUGGCGGGGAACCAGGACUUUUACUGUGAAAAAAUUAGAGUGUUCAAAGCAGGCAAAUCGCUUGGAUACAUUAUCAUGGAAUAAUGGAAUAGGACAAUGGUUCUAUUUGUUGGUUUCUAGGACCGUUGUAAUGAUUAAUAGGGAUAGUUGGGGGCAUUAGUAUUCAAUUGUCAGAGGUGAAAUUCUUGGAUUUAUUGAAGACUAACUACUGCGAAAGCAUUUGCCAAGGAUGUUUUCAUUAAUCAAGAACGAAAGUUAGGGGAUCGAAGACGAUCAGAUACCGUCGUAGUCUUAACCAUAAACUAUGCCGACUAGGAAUCGGGCGAUGUUGAAAAAAUGACGCGCUCGGCACCUCAUG
rnacentral:misc_RNA from 1 species